rnacentral:rRNA from 1 species
AUUGAACGCUGGCGGCAGGCCUAACACAUGCAAGUCGAACGGUAACAGGAAGCAGCUUGCUGCUUCGCUGACGAGUGGCGGACGGGUGAGUAAUGUCUGGGAAGCUGCCUGAUGGAGGGGGAUAACUACUGGAAACGGUAGCUAAUACCGCAUAAUGUCGCAAGACCAAAGAGGGGGACCUUCGGGCCUCUUGCCAUCGGAUGUGCCCAGAUGGGAUUAGCUGGUUGGUGGGGUAACGGCUCACCAAGGCGACGAUCCCUAGCUGGUCUGAGAGGAUGACCAGCCACACUGGAACUGAGACACGGUCCAGACUCCUACGGGAGGCAGCAGUGGGGAAUAUUGCACAAUGGGCGCAAGCCUGAUGCAGCCAUGCCGCGUGUAUGAAGAAGGCCUUCGGGUUGUAAAGUACUUUCAGCGGGGAGGAGGGGAGUAAAGUUAAUACCUUUGCUCAUUGACGUUACCCGCAGAAGAAGCACCGGCUAACUCCGUG